rnacentral:rRNA from 1 species
UGGGGAAUUUUGUGCAAUGGGGGAAACCCUGACACAGCGACACCGCGUGAAGGAUGAAGUAUUUCGGUAUGUAAACUUCGAAAGAAUAGGAAGAAUAAAUGACGGUACUAUUUAUAAGGUCCGGCUAACUACGUGCCAGCAGCCGCGGUAAUACGUAGGGACCAAGCGUUGUUCGGAUUUACUGGGCGUAAAGGGCGCGUAGGCGGCGUGGUAAGUCACUUGUGAAAUCUCCGAGCUUAACUCGGAACGGUCAAGUGAUACUGCUGUGCUAGAGUACAGAAGGGGCAAUCGGAAUUCUUGGUGUAGCGGUGAAAUGCGUAGAUAUCAAGAGGAACACCUGAGGUGAAGACGGGUUGCUGGGCUGACACUGACGCUGAGGCGCGAAAGCCAGGGGAGCAAACGGGAUUAGAUACCCAUGUAGUCCCUGAGCGGGCUGGCAAGGCGCAU